CCCCGCGUGGCGGAAUCGGCAGACGCGGUUGCCUCAAAAGCAGCUGCCCUCAAGGGCGUGUCCGUUCAAGAUCGGAUCCCGGGGACCA
rnacentral:tRNA from 3 species